rnacentral:rRNA from 1 species
GAGGGGAGCUUGCUCCCUGAUUCAGCGGCGGACGGGUGAGUAAUGCCUAGGAAUCUGCCUGGUAGUGGGGGACAACGUUUCGAAAGGAACGCUAAUACCGCAUACGUCCUACGGGAGAAAGCAGGGGACCUUCGGGCCUUGCGCUAUCAGAUGAGCCUAGGUCGGAUUAGCUAGUUGGUGAGGUAAUGGCUCACCAAGGCUGCGAUCCGUAACUGGUCUGAGAGGAUGAUCAGUCACACUGGAACUGAGACACGGUCCAGACUCCUACGGGAGGCAGCAGUGGGGAAUAUUGGACAAUGGGCGAAAGCCUGAUCCAGCCAUGCCGCGUGUGUGAAGAAGGUCUUCGGAUUGUAAAGCACUUUAAGUUGGGAGGAAGGGCAGUAAGUUAAUACCUUGCUGUUUUGACGUUACCGACAGAAUAAGCACCGGCUAACUUCGUGCCAGCAGCCGCGGUAAUACGAAGGGUGCAAGCGUUAAUCGGAAUUACUGGGCGUAAAGCGCGCGUAGGUGGUUUGUUAAGUUGGAAGUGAAAGCCCCGGGCUCAACCUGGGAACUGCUUUCAAAACUGGCAAGCUAGAGUAUGGCAGAGGGUGGUGGAAUUUCCUGUGUAGCGGUGAAAUGCGUAGAUAUAGGAAGGAACACCAGUGGCGAAGGCGACCACCUGGGCUAAUACUGACACUGAGGUGCGAAAGCGUGGGGAGCAAACAGGAUUAG